GUGCUCGCUUCAGCAGCACAUAUAUACUAAAAUUGGACUGAUACAGAGAAGAUUAGCAUGGCCCCUGUGCAAAGAUGACAUGCAAAUUCGUGAAGCAUUCCAUAUUUUU
ensembl:snRNA U6 U6 spliceosomal RNA